CAACUAAAUUCGGAGCUUUAUAAUUCUUCAAAAACUGAAAGCACUGCGAUCAUUAGGAAUGAAAUCAUUCGCCAUCCGAAUUCUGAAGAACGUGUUGCACAAGAAUAGUUGGAAAGGCCAUUUCGGAUAAUACCCCUUUCAAGCAGCGAAAAUUUCGCGAGACCUAAAAUUCUUUAAAAACUGGAAACUCUGCGAUCACAAGGAAUGGAAUCGAUAGCCAUUCGAAUUCUGAUGACGAUGU